AAUUUGGGCAGCUAAUGAAUGUCAUGAAAGCUGUAGCCUCUCCGUCACCACCCAUCGCUUUAAUUACAUGACAACGCUCUAGUGUCACGAUGCACUGCUCACGUCUCCAAUUCAGGUACAAGUAUGUUUUAAAGAAGAAGUAAGUUUCCCAAUCAGCCAAUUUAUCUGGCUACCUGUUACCUCAGCUGAGUUAGUUUAGGAAGUUUACAUUCGUUUCUAAUUCUGUGCUUGUUUUCAGGGGUUUUUAAACACAUCCUCUCUAUCAUGUCAAUUUGGCCAGGACCGUGACUUGCAUUUUGCUGAAAUUAACUCAGAAAUCAGUAAAAAUGAAGUCAUAAAAUAAUCAUGUGUCAUAUGGCUUUGGUACCCUGUACACAUACAUUAAAACUUUUCGAAGUUUGGCCUCCUAUUAAAAUAAUUAUGUCUCAGAUGAAUAAUGUCUUGUUUCCAGGGUUCAGAAAGGCAAACUCAUGAAACGCCACUGAGAACUUUGAACACAGCACCCUUCACGUACAGGAAAGUGUGUGUUUGCUUUAUUUGUAUAGGUUUCUAUUUGUGUCUUAUGUCCUGGAAAUAUUCCAAAAUAACAGGUAAUAGUAGUCAAGUAAAAUGCAGAUAGUCUGAAUUAAUUGAGUUUCUAGAAGUAAGAAGUCAGCAUGUUACCCAGAGUCAGUGUUGGGCUAUCAGUUUAUAAUAAAUGCUGAAAUAUGCCCACUUUGAAAAUGCACUUUGACUAAUCUCAAAAUGAUGUACAAAUUAUACCUAUGAAGUCCAAGGCUUCUGUUCUGUUUCUUACAAUCCUUUGUCAUGUACAAUUUGUCUGGUAUUUGAUUUGUGAUAUCAUUUCUCCUGCUGAAGCUGCUAUCAUUCUGACAAGGUAGAGGUCCAAGGUUUACCUUCAUAUACAUUGGAAACAAUUAGAACAGACUUAGACAUUCUAAGGAGAGGUAAAUCUUAGCAUUUUCCUCGUGUCUCAAUCAUGCUAAAGUUUGCAAGGUGGUAAAUUUGGGAGGAGUACCCCAGUUCUUUCCUAUGGGAAAACUGACUUCCAGUAUGUUUCAACAGAGCUGUUGUUGUCCUGGACUAAGCGAUUGUACUGGGUUUCCCAAGACCUUUACCAGUAAAUUAUGUUUCUGUAUGUAAAAACGUAACCCAUUAUUAGACAAUGUUAUAUGUAUUUACCAAAUUAUGUAAGUUCCAUUGGGAUUGUAUUAUUAAUUUUUGUAUUUUCUCAAAAUAGUACUUUGAAUUGAUAGUUCUUUAUGCAAUGUCUUAGCAAUAGUCACUGUAAUGCCCAUCCAGGAGCAGUGGGUAGUAAUCCUUCAUCAUGAAAAUGAUAUACUACAUAUUUACUGUGUUCCCUUUGCAGUAUUGCACUUUUGUUUAACUAGAACAUACCUGUGAGAUAGCCAAAGUUUUUCAGACCGUUACCUUGGUUUGCAGUGGAGUGUUUCAAUACCACCCGCAGCCCACUCUUCCUCUAGGCCUGCCCAUAGGACCUUUAUUCCUCUUUCCCAAUUAAAAGAAAAUGAGGUUAAAAAGAAAACCUUAGAUCUUGUCAUUAAAAUCUAAUUUAUAGCAAAAUCUAUGAGAUAAAGUAUUUUCCUAAUUAUGGUCUAAUAAAUUUGGAUAACAUCCUAGUGAUUCUUUCUAUAUAUAAGUUAGUUACCGUUUUCAAAGCAUAAGGCUAAUAUUAACUUUAAACAUUCUCUUGGGUUUCAAGACAUGCCUUUGUAGAUUGAUUGGGGGAAGGUGGUCCAGGAAUCAGCUAAGAAAACCAUGCAGAUCUGGAAAUACAAAGUUAAGGGUUAUAGGAAGCAAGUCAAUGCAGUCCCACUUACUCAAGCUGCAGCUGAAAGGCUAUCCCAGUACGUGUUGGUAGUUCCUGAGAGAGUUAUAGCUGGUGUUGCCUUGUGGUCUACCCCUUGUUUCAGGCCUCAUGACUCAGUCUUAGUCCAAGUUUUCUUUUGGACAUUUGCAAUAUUUACCAGUUGUGUUUUGUGUAGUCUAAAUUUGCUUUCUGUAGUUGAGCAAACGUCUUAAAAAGUCAUUUGUAAUUUAUUAAAUUACUUUCUAUGAUGUUCUAUAGAGCAAAUGGAAGUUUAAUUAUUUUUUAUUAAACAUAUUCUUUGACUACC
rnacentral:lncRNA from 1 species